ACAACCAAUGUGGUGUGAGCAGGUGAGCCCU
rnacentral:piRNA from 1 species